GAUGAACGCUGGCGGCGUGCCUAAUACAUGCAAGUCGAGCGAACGGACGAGAAGCUUUCUUCUCUGAUGUUAGCGGCGGACGGGUGAUUAACACGUGGAUAACCUACCUAUAAGACUGUGAUAACUUCGGGAAACCGGAGCUAAUACCGGAUGAUAUUUUGAACCUCAUGGUUCAAAAGUGAAAGACGGUCUUUCUGUCACUUAUAGAUGGAUCCGCGCUGCAUUAGCUAGUUGGUAAGGUAAGGGCUUACCAAGGCAACGAUGCAUAGCCGACCUGAGAGGGUCAUCGGCUACCCUGGAACUGAGACACGGUAGAGACUCCUACGGGAGGCAGCAGUAGGGAAUCUUACGCAAUGGGGGAGAGCCUGACGGAGCACAGCCGGGUGAGUGAUGAAGGUCUUAGGAUCGUAAAACUCUGUUAUUAGGGAAGAACAUAUGUGUAAGUAACUGUGACCAUCUUGACGGUACCUAAUCAGAAAGCCACGGCUAACUACGUG
rnacentral:rRNA from 1 species